CCACCUCCCCCUCCGCAUGCCACCUCUUUCCUGAUCCACAAUGCCUCCUAUGCUCCAUCACCACGCCGGGCCGCCUCCACCCGGACCACGCCGCAUCCGUGCGCCACCACGCCGAAUCCACGGCGGAGGAGCCCGGGGACUCCAACGGUCCCUCCUCUCUUGCUGCUCGUUGCGCUCUCGGGCUCUUCUCCGUCCACCACUUCGGAGGCCAUCCCCGUCCACCUCUUCGCCGUACAUUCUUCUCCCUCUGCACCUUCUCAUCGCCCGACACCGCCGCCUCCUCUUUCCUGGGACUCAUCCGCCCGCACUCGCUCGAUUGGUGCCUCCAUCCAUCCCACCGGCGGCCAGAGGACCUAGAAGCUCCCUACCCUCGCCUCAUCUCCGGCCUCCGAUCCAAUCGGACCCGCCUUCCAUCCGCCGGCAGCGUGUUACCUACGGGACGGGAGAUCCAUGGCCGCAUCCCUCCGCCAUCCUCAAUGCGGCAUCGGCGGCAGUGCACAGCUGCGAAGAAGGAACUAGACGCGGCGGUCACCCGCGCCUCUGUCGACCCCUCCACCAUCUUCCAUGGUGAUGCCCUGAUCCCUCCACCAUCAAGCGCAGCCCGGCAGGAACACGGGGAUUUGUAGCGUGCUCAUCCUUGGUAUUAGUUAUUCUCCUUGUCCCUGCCGUAUUCCCUCUCUAUCAAAUGCAUCCAAAAUCUCUCGGUUCAAGCACUCAAGCUUGGCUUCAAAAGACCUUAUCUUCUCAAGCGCCAAGGAACACUGCACCAGGCGUUUCUUUCAGUAGCUCUAUCUAUGUUCUUAUUUUAUAUUUCAGCAGCUCUAUCUCUGUUCUUAUUAUUUUCAGGUAUUUUCUCUAGCAACUCUCCAUUUGGUGACAAGCUCUUGCCGCUUGCUUUCUUUUGGUUAGGCCAUCCAUGUUCUUUUCAGUAAUUAUUCUUGCUCAACGUAUCGUGUGGAUUAGUUAUUAGUGGUGUGUUUGCUAGCUGAAUCGAGGUUAAAUAAAGGGCCUGGGAGUAUGACCAUGAUGGAGAUUAUCAGUGCCACACUGCAAGUGUCGAAUGCAGCUUUCUGAAUAUGAUGGGAUCUUGAGAUGGGUCAAUUAUCUUUGAGAAGCAUUAUAAGCUUGAUGUUUUCUGAACAUCUCAGAAUUCAGACACGUUGAGCUCAAUUCAUGGUUCUGUAUGCAAGAGGUGUUGACCCCAAGUCAAUAGUGUGCGAACUGGACAAACAUUGAUUGGACUACGCAGACAAGCAUGAUGCAGAAACUGUGGAGGACUGGGAUCAGGAAAACUCUGGAGAAGGUUGUUGAAUCGAAAAAGACAGAUAGAAGCGCUCAAGAGAUAGUAGGCUGGGGAGCAGAUGGUGUGACUAUGGGCAGUGUAAUUGUUUGACAGUUACCUGAAGCUGCUACUCUUGAAGAAGGGUUCAAGAGGCUAGAGGAGUACACCAGGAAUCACUAUGCCACUAAGGUGCACUACCAUGAUGAACAAGGGGAUUAGAACACAACAGAAUACUUCUUGCCAGCGUAAAAUUGUACGUAAAAUACUUGCUGCUAGCGUAAAGAUAUAAAAUAGAAUUUGUUGGACUA